rnacentral:rRNA from 1 species
AGUUGAUCCUGGCUCAGGAUGAACGCUAGCUACAGGCCUAACACAUGCAAGUCGAGGGCAGCAGAUCGAAGCUUGCUUUGAUGCUGGCGACCGGCGAAUGGGUGAGUCACGCGUGUCCAACCUGCCCUGUGCCCGGGGAUAGCCCUUGGAAAUGAGGAUUAACACCCGAUAGGUGGCGCUUCCGCAUGGCGGCGCCAUGAAACCGACACAGGAUGGGGACGCGUCGGAUUAGCUUGACGGCGGGGCGACGGCCCACCGUGGCGACGAUCCGCAGGGGUUCUGAGAGGAAGGUCCCCCACACUGGCACUGAGACACGGGCCAGACUCCUACGGGAGGCAGCAGUGAGGAAUAUUGGUCAAUGGCCGAGAGGCUGAACCAGCCAAGUAGCGUGCAGGACGACGGCCCUACGGGUUGUAAACUGCUUUUGCGGGAGGAUAAAGGACGCCACGUGUGGCGUUUUGCAGGUAUCCCGUGAAUAAGGACCGGCUAAUUCCGUGCCAGCAGCUGC